rnacentral:lncRNA from 1 species
GAAAGGUGACCUGCGUCACAUGGUGACACGAGGAUGUUGGAUAAUAUUACACAAGUGCUGCACCUCAGCUGCUCCCACUGACAUCUAUGGGACUUUAUGGGAUCAUCAGCAAGUCAAGCGCUAUAUUCUGUAAGUGUUUAUGUUUCAGAGAGGUGUUGUAGGAAAAAUACUCAGGCUGUACUGAAAGAAACAGGAAUUUUAAUGUUUAGUUCAAAAUGACCUGUUCCAAAGUUCAUCUCAUAUUUUCUUUGCUGUUUGCCUCCUCAAUUUGUUAGUGCUCAGUAGAAUAUAGAAACAACAGAUCUGUUCUUUCUUCUACAUUUCUUGCAAUUACGCUGAUUUAAAUUCUGCAAUAAAGCAGUUGGAGGUGGAACAUUCCAGAAGGAUUCUGCAAAUUCUAGCAGGAUUUUUUAAAGGCAGAAAUGCAAAUCAGUAUCCAAAAAUAAAUUUAGAUUAAAAAUUACCUUCCUGUGUUGUUUCUAGGACAUGUAAAAUUACUCUGACACCAGCAGAGAAGCCCAUUAAAUACAUGACUGGUCAUGUAUAAAUGAACCUCUUUGCUUGGGCAGGGAAGACAAUGACAGGGAAGAUGACCCUUAUUAAAGUUGGCACAAAUAGCAGAAAAAAAGCCAGAAAACAAAGAAGAUGUAUAGAAGAUAUACGGAAUUCCAGUGAAUUGUAUUUUGGUGUCAGAUUGGUGUAUGCUGUUGAAAGUUUGCAUAGCCUUCCAGAAAGAACUACUCUUCUUAAGCAGCAGGUAAGGAAAAUAACUUGGGUAAAAGAUUUGGGGAGGAACAGGAAAGGACAUUUAAUAUAUUUAAUCUUAUUAUACAUUUUUCUACAUUAAAGUCAACAGGCUGCAAAUAUAUUCUGCUACAAAGCUUUUUGUAAGAAAUAUCUCUAUAAGAAAAUACAUCUCAUUAAACAUUUCCUGUAAAUAAAUUAUCCCAAAUAACUACGGUUUGUAAGAGG